AUUGAACGCUGGCGGCAGGCCUAACACAUGCAAGUCGAGCGAGCGGCGGACGGGUGAGUAAUGUCUGGGGAACUGCCUGAUAGAGGGGGAUAACUACUGGAAACGGUGGCUAAUACCGCAUACUAUCGGAUGUGCCCAUAUGGGAUUAGCUAGUAGGUAAGGUAACGGCUUACCUAGGCGACGAUCCCUAGCUGGUCUGAGAGGAUGAUCAGCCACACUGGAACUGAGACACGGCCCAGACUCCUACGGGAGGCAGCAGUGGGGAAUAUUGCACAAUGGGCGCAAGCCUGAUGCAGCCAUGCCGCGUGUAUGAAGAAGGCCCUCGGGUUGUAAAGUACUUUCAGUGGGGAGGCGUUACCCACAGAAGAAGCACCGGCUAACUCCGUGCCAGCAGCCGCGGUAAUAC
rnacentral:rRNA from 1 species